rnacentral:rRNA from 1 species
AUUGAACGCUGGCGGCAUGCCUUACACAUGCAAGUCGAACGGCAGCACGGGUGCUUGCACCUGGUGGCGAGUGGCGAACGGGUGAGUAAUGCAUCGGAACGUGCCCGGUCGUGGGGGAUAACGCAGCGAAAGUUGUGCUAAUACCGCAUACGUCCUGAGGGAGAAAGCAGGGGAUCUUCGGACCUUGUGCGAUUGGAGCGGCCGAUGUCAGAUUAGCUAGUUGGUGAGGUAAAAGCUCACCAAGGCGACGAUCUGUAGCUGGUCUGAGAGGAUGAUCAGCCACACUGGAACUGAGACACGGUCCAGACUCCUACGGGAGGCAGCAGUGGGGAAUUUUGGACAAUGGGGGCAACCCUGAUCCAGCCAUGCCGCGUGAGUGAAGAAGGCCUUCGGGUUGUAAAGCUCUUUCGGCCGGGAAGAAAUCGUGCAGGCUAAUACCCUGUAUGGAUGACGGUACCGGAAUAAGAAGCACCGGCUAACUACGUGCCAGCCGCCGCCGUAA